rnacentral:rRNA from 1 species
UGCCUUAGUAGCGGCGAGUGAAGCGGCAAAAGCUCAAAUUUGAAAUCUGGCACUUUCAGUGUCCGAGUUGUAAUUUGAAGAAGGUAUCUUUGGGUCUGGCUCUUGUCUAUGUUUCUUGGAACAGAACGUCACAGAGGGUGAGAAUCCCGUGCGAUGAGAUGUCCCAGACCUAUGUAAAGUUCCUUCGAAGAGUCGAGUUGUUUGGGAAUGCAGCUCUAAGUGGGUGGUAAAUUCCAUCUAAAGCUAAAUAUUGGCGAGAGACCGAUAGCGAACAAGUACAGUGAUGGAAAGAUGAAAAGAACUUUGAAAAGAGAGUGAAAAAGUACGUGAAAUUGUUGAAAGGGAAGGGCUUGAGAUCAGACUUGGUAUUUUGUAUGUUACUCUCUCGGGGGUGGCCUCUACAGUUUACCGGGCCAGCAUCAGUUUGAGCGGUAGGAUAAGUGCAAAGAAAUGUGGCACUGCUUCGGUAGUGUGUUAUAGUCUUUGUCGAUACUGCCAGCUUAGACUGAGGACUGCGGCGUCGGCCUAGGAUGUUGGCAUAAUGAUCUUAAGUCGCCCGUCUUGAG